ensembl:antisense Gm26693 uncharacterized LOC110312382
UAGAUCCUCACUGGCCCCACAGUGGGAAAGGGCAGAAGCAGAGCCCUGUCCCAGCUUUCCUGACCGGACACUUGCUCAGCGGGCAAUUCUUGCUUCCUCCCCUUUCUGAUGGGGUUACAGAAGCACAGAGGGAAUUCCAGACUCGGUGUCUAUGGAAACAGUCCAUGGCACCACAGAAGACAAAAGAUUUACCAGGUUCUCUGGAAAGAAGAGCUAAGUCCUAGAGACAAGAAGUGUUCUUCACACGCAGUCUUAUGGCUGUUAUGACGUCUCUUCUAGGUCUGUGUUCAAGGUUACUGCCUGACAGGGCUUUCAUAUGGGGGAACUGGACAUGACUUCUGGUUCACAGCACACUCUGGGGUCCAGUUAAAGGUUUCUGCCCGCUGACGACCCUCGGUAUAUUCACAGAGUGUCUCCAACAACUGGCUACUGCGAGAAAAGAAAAAGCUCAUUACUAAAAAAUUGUUUACUAAUGAUUUACCACAAGAAAUGGUAGUUAUAUCCCCUGUAAUAGUUUUUAAAAAUGUUUGAACCAUUUGCUUUAAAAUUUGGUUUAAGGUCAUUUACAAUAAUAAUAAAAAAAAGAUAAUUGGUGGGUGGUUGUGUUAUACUGUCUUCAUUAUUGGCAAGUGCUGAAUAACUACAUCACAUUUAAAUAUAUUUCUCAAUAUUUAGUACUAUAUACAGUUUUGAUGUACUAGUGACUAAAACAAUGUUGGAUUCUAACAUACUUGUAUCUCCAUAAUGACUUCUCUUGACAACUGGUCCUAUUAUAAAAAGAAAUUUUAUUUUUGUUUCAUAUACAACACAUGCCUAAAACUUAGAAACAUAUCAAUACAACAUUUGAAAUAAUAUUAUGGACAGGGUAACGUGAGUACAUAUGAACCGUGAUACAGUAUGACUUGUGGUAGGUAUCACGGUGCUCCGGUUGUUAUUAAUAUUAGGAUAUUCUGAUUGCUGAAGCUUAAUGGGUCUACAGUUUUGGGUACGAUUUGUUAAAAUUAAAAACAAUUUGAAGCAGG